rnacentral:rRNA from 1 species
ACUCAAAGGAAUUGACGGGGACCCGCACAAGCAGCGGAGCGUGUGGUUUAAUUCGAGGCUACACGAAGAACCUUACCUGGGUUUGACAUGCUAGUGGUAGCGACGCGAAAGCCGAGCGACCCUUCGGGGAGCUAGCACAGGUGCUGCAUGGUUGUCGUCAGCUCGUGCCGUGAGGUGUUAGGUUAAGUCCUGCAACGAGCGCAACCCCUUCCGUUAGUUAAAUCUCUCUAGCGGGACUGCCGGGGUAACCCGGAGGAGGGUGGGGAUGACGUCAAAUCAGCAUGGCCUUUAUAUCCAGGGCUACACACACGCUACAAUGGUCGGCACAGUGGGCUGCAAUACCGCAAGGUGGAGCCAAUCCUCAAAGCCGGCCCCAGUUCAGAUUGGAGGCUGCAACCCGCCUCCAUGAAGUCGGAGUUGCUAGUAACCGCAGGUCAGCUAUACUGCGGUGAAUACGUUCCCGGGUCUUGUACACACCGCCCGU